UAGGGAAUCUUCGGCAAUGGGGGGAACCCUGACCGAGCAACGCCGCGUGAGUGAAGAAGGUUUUCGGAUCGUAAAGCUCUGUUGUUAAGGAAGAACGAGUGUGAGAAUGGAAAGUUCAUACUGUGACGGUACUUAACCAGAAAGGGACGGCUAACUACGUGCCAGCAGCCGCGGUAAUACGUAGGGGGCUAGCGUUGUCCGGAAUCACUGGGCGUAAAGGGUUCGCAGGCGGAAAUGCAAGUCAGGUGUAAAAGGCAGUAGCUUAACUACUGUAAGCAUUUGAAACUGCAUAUCUUGAGAAGAGUAGAGGUAAGUGGAAUUUUUAGUGUAGCGGUGAAAUGCGUAGAUAUUAAAAAGAAUACCGGUGGCGAAGGCGACUUACUGGGCUCAUUCUGACGCUGAGGAACGAAAGCGUGGGUAGCAAACAGG
rnacentral:rRNA from 1 species